ACGUCCUCCACCUCCCUUCACCUCCAGUGCCCCCUCCUCCCUCUCCAGCGCCGCCACAGCCGCCUGGGCGAUGCUUCCACCCACCACCCAUGGUUGAGGUCGGCGAAGCGGCCCAUCGCGAGGCGCCUGGGGACGCUGCCUCCCUCCGCCGCCAGCAGCGGCGACCGGCUAGCGUGCGUUCGCCGCCACCAAAACCGGAUGGCGUGCUGUCCGGCGAGGGGCCCGACCUGUCGUCUUCGUCGCGCGUCCUGGGCCGACGGAGGGCAGACGCCGAUGCCCACCAGCCGCGGCAUGCUCGAUCUGGAUAUUCAUCCUCGUGCCCAGCCGCUGCUCCUCGGCAUAUUCCUCUCUCCACACCGCCGCUCGCUCCAUCGCGUCACCCGCACUGCCGCUCACCUUCGCCUCGUCAGCGCCUUCUGCUGCUACUGCCGCCGGCGCGUCUCCUAGCUCUUGAACGACCAAACCAUGCAUCGCUACUCCAUGGGAUUCUAAUUUGCCUUUGCAUGCUUGCAGGUUUGAUUGCUGGACCAGCUGCUGGACGUGGAGCACUGGAUCCGGCAGGCGGUGGUGCUCUGGGGCGUCGCCCCCCUCGUCGGCGCCUUCUCGAUCACCGUGUAAACUCACAAUUAUUGUACAGAUUGAUGCUACGGCUGUACUGCAGAGUUCCAGUAAUAGACACAUUAUGGAAGUGGUGAGGGUCGAUGACUUGAUUUGCAUCAGUGAGAUGAAGAUAGCUGCCAUUGUAAAUGCCACUGUGCCAUAAAGCCAAGGAUUAAAGUUGUCUGCAGUGAACCGUGUCUCUGUGAGAGGAUCAUAACAAGAGGUAACACACCGCCCUUGCAUAAUAAUGUAGUAGUAUAUGGAUCAUAACAAACUGUGGUUGUGAUCAGACCUUGUAAUUUUUACCUUUCCUCCAAGAUCAUCCUCUCCUAAUAUGCCAUGUGUCGACAGCAGCAGGAUCAGGCUAAGCUUGCCCAUGUAAGUGUAGCUCCUCUAAUCUUAUUACUAUGUUCCGAUGAUCUAGCUUAUUUGUUGCAUCUUCAUCUUUUCACAUGGGAUUGCCUUGUGCUUAAUUUGGUCUGAUCAUUGAACAUAUAAAUCCAGCUACCCAACCCGCCAUUCUAGCGCCAUCCCCGUUUCAAAUUCGUCCUAAACACUCGAUUUGCCUCGCUGGCCAGCGACGUCGUACCUUUCAUCGUGGUGGUAAACAUCUGGUCGCUCGUUCUUCUGUACUCCAAGUAACCGGGCUAGAGCGACUGACACAUGGGCCAGCCUCGCAGCGGCCGGUGUGUGCGUGCUUCUGUCCGGGUGAAAAGCAGGGUGAAUCGAUCGUGGGUUGGCAGGGUGUUUUUUUACAGUCAUCGUUUGCACCCAGCGGCCACCCGUGAAAAUAUCUCCUCUCCCUUGCCUUCUCUCACGUGCUCUCCCCUCCCCUGAUCCCCUCCUUCCCUACCGUCACGCAGCGGCCGACACGGCCUUCUCUCCCCGGCGCUUGAGGUACAGCAGCGGCUGCGGCACUUCUCGGCCCAGCCGGAUCCGGUGCAGGUCGCCGGUAUCACGCGCCGCGUGUCGUGAUUCUGGAUCGGGCGCAGAUCUUGCCACCUAUCCUCCUCUCUCUCUCCCAUGUCGCCAUUGUUGCAAGGAGCAGGGGAGAUAGGUGCCGAGGACAAGAAGCAACGGGUUGGUCAGGGUGGGCUUGAGCUGCUGGGGAGAUGGAGGAGGCCGUCGUGGUUCGUCAUGGAGGCGGCGCCGCCGGCAAGCUGGUUGAGCACAGAGGAAUGAGGAAUGGAUACAUGAGGCAUGGCGUAAGCGUAGGGGUCAGCCAGGGCACGACGCAAGAGUCUGCCCAUCUCCUCUCAAACACGAAAGGCACUAAUGCGUCCCAAAAACCUAGCGCACAAAGGACCAAUCCUUCCCUUCCUCGAGCCCCAUUCGAGUCCGCGCCGUUCAGCAUCUCCAGCCUCCCCCGCUCCUCGACCCUCCGGCCCCACGGCCUCUCGCGCCGCCGCCUUCUUCCCUGGACGUCUUCCCCGACGCUCGUGGUGCAGCAGCGGCCAUUGCAGUAGCCGCUGGAACUGAUGGAUAUUGACAUGGGUAACAAAAUAGUUGAAAGAUUUUGUACCGACGAGGCUCUUGAGACUACAAACAUUUCUUCACUCCUUGUAUGAAAGGAUUCUAGGACUAAGUUAUAGGAUUUUAUAUUUUAGUCGGAUAUUCCUUCUGUUAAUAUGUGCUCCUGUGCAAUUUUUCAUAGGCUUCUCUUUCCUUUUUCUGGUUACGAUUUACAAAGCUGAGCAAUAGUUUCUCUACUAAUAUAGCUUGUGAAAAACAUCCGUCUUUAGGAUGCUUUUGCGGCAUGUGUAACUGCCUCACAUUAGCCUAUGCUUCUAUCCGAGUUGUUUACUAUUAAGACCAUAAUGGAUCAUGCUUUUUAACUGGCAUAUAAGUGUUGAUGGAAAAUGAUGUCUCAUUUUUUGCCUGGUAAAUUUUAAUUGGCGCAUGCAAUCCAUGCUUCCCAGUCUUUGGUGACAAUGUUGUCAGGCCUAAAAAUAGAAGUUUUCGAUUUCCUCUCUCUGGUUUUUAGUUGGUUAGAUGUUAAUGCGUGGAAAUGUAUAUGCUGAUUUUUUUCCUGUUUUAAUAAAUUGCUAAUACGUGGAUCUUGUCUGCUUUGCAUGGACUAUAGUAUAUAUUCACAGACUUUGUCUGCUUGCUUGAAAACUAAAAUAUGACUUUUACUUGCCUAUUACCAAAGAAGAUUUCAUGCAUGCCACAUCAAGUCGCCACAGAUGCCUCCAAGUGAAAUUUCAGCGACGACAAGGUAUAUUUUCCCCAACACCUGAUCUUCUUUAAUCAGACUACCAUUCAUUAUUGCGUAUAGGCUUCUUACUCUGUGCCUGAAUAAGCGAUUGGUAUCCACAUGUUUGUUUCCAUGUGUUCUACUGUCUUUCUGGUACUUGAAGCAUAGUAUGUUCAUGUGUGCGACUACAGUUCCAGCGAGUUGGAAGUCCUGUUGUUCUCAAAGUUUGCAUCAUAUGCCCUUUAGAGAAAUCUUUAUUGAACAUUUUAAUUUUCCUCAUACAUGCUUAUCAUUUGGCAUCAUGUUAUUUUGUGACACAGUAACUGAAUAUGCACACAAGAGGAUCCCUCUGGAUGUGUAGGGGGUAUGAAGUAAUAGCCAUUUUUUUUCUCUGUGUAGAUUUGGCAUCAUAUUGCCCAGUAACUGAAUAUGCAUGCAGGAGGAUCACUCUGGAUGAUGGAAAAUGCAUUAUCCGUGGUAAGAAGCUAACGGUGUCGCCCCAUUUAUACCACAUUUAGGCAUGAUAAUUAAAUUAGCCUUCAAAUUAAAUAGAUGUCCGCAUUCAUGGGUACAUAGAUGAGCUGAGCUACUAUUUUCUUGUUUGGGAAUGAGAUAACACUAUACAAACAGCAUGUUGACACUCUGAACAGCUUAAUACUAGACGGAAACAAAAUUUCUCUUCCUACUAUGUCUGUACCAUGAACAAGAUGUUCGCAACAAGUGGUCAACAAAUGGUAUUCUGUUCCUGUCCUUUCUCCUUUUUAUGAAUCUUCAUAGCUGCAUCUUAACCAUGCUUAAUAUCUAUUGCAGUACUUUUCCACUCACUUCACACAAGAAUAUCUCAAGGGGCACAUGCAUGAAGAGCAUACUAAUUUGCUGAUCAAAGCUGGAAACAGACCUGCCAUCGUCAUUGCUCGGCUUAUCAUACAAUCACAAGAAGCUGGACUCAGUUCUUUGACAUCGCAAAUAUGAAAGGAGGAGUGUCAUAUGCAUUUGCCUUUGAGGAAUUGGCGGGAGAACUCAUAUCAUCGUGCACUCCCUUUGAUAGCGUCAUGAGCAACCACUGCCAUCAUCUCAUAAUAUAGCUCAGGUUCAAGACCUAGGUCAUGCACUACUUUUCUCGACCAUAUAAUGUGCUCUGCGUCACCUUAUCCUUUCAGCUCCAGUACUUCAUAAUAUAGAGUAGAUGAAACAUCUUUUUAAAUUGGUGUGGAAAUACCAAUGCAGAUGGAGCUAUGUAAUCCAGCUUGCUUUCUAUCAUGAGUUGGUCUCAUGACUUUGUUUUUAGCCAUCUUGGUACCAUGCAAUGGAAUAUAUAACACUAUGUUUGAACAUCGUA